rnacentral:rRNA from 1 species
GUGGAUUAGAUACCCUGGUAGUCCACGCCCUAAACGAUGCGAACUGGAUGUUGGGCUCACUUCGGAGCUCAGUAUCGAAGCUAACGCGUUAAGUUCGCCGCCUGGGGAGUACGGUCGCAAGACUGAAACUCAAAGGAAUUGACGGGGGCCCGCACAAGCGGUGGAGUAUGUGGUUUAAUUCGAUGCAACGCGCAGAACCUUACCUGGCCUUGACAUCCACGGAACUUUCCAGAGAUGGAUUGGUGCCUUCGGGAACCGUGAGACAGGUGCUGCACGGCUGUCGACAACU